rnacentral:rRNA from 1 species
CGCCUCUCGACAAAUUAUGAGAGGUCCAGCCUGCCCAGUGACCAAGUUAAACGGCCGCGGUACCCUAACCGUGCGAAGGUAGCGCAAUCACUUGUUCUUUAAAUAAGGACUAGUAUGAACGGCAUCACGAGGGUUAUACUGUCUCCCCCUUCUAAUCAGUGAAACUGACCCCCCCGUGAAGAGGCGGGGAUAAAAAUAUAAGACGAGAAGACCCCAUGGAGCUUUAAACUCAGUUUCAAUUGCCCUUAUUUAUAUCAUUUAAACCGGGCAAAUAUGAUUUCUAGUUUUCGGUUGGGGUGACCGCGGAGCAAAAAAAAACCUCCACGAUGAAAGAGCCAACCCUCUAAUCAUAGAGCAACAACUCAAAGAAUCAAUAAAUUGACAUAAUUUGAUCCAAUUAUUUUGAUCAACGAACCAAGUUACCCUGGGGAUAACAGCGCAAUCCACUUCAAGAGCCCCUAUCGACAAGUGGGUUUACGACCUCGAUGUUGGAUCAGGGUAUCCCAGUGGUGCAGCCGCUACUAAAGGUUCGUUUGUUCAACGAUUAAAACCCU